UUGCUCUGAUACUGAAGUCUUCUUUGCUGCAGAUUGCCUCUGCGCAGCCGCAAUUUCGCGCCACGUCAGCAUCGGCCGAGGCUUAGUCAUCUGACACGCUUCUCGGCACGCAUCGACAACAGGUGGCGUGGCACUCAUCGGCGGCGCUUGCUAUCUGCAACGGAGGCCUGACGUCACCCUUGCUGAGGCUACAAAAGGAGCCUCGUUGUGCUUGCUGGUUUCACUUGGCAGUGGCGACGACGCCGGUAUUCGUUGCUCUGAUACUGAAGUCUUCUUUGCUGCAGAUUGCCUCUGCGCAGCCGCAAUUUCGCGCCACGUCAGCAUCGGCCGAGGCUUAGUCAUCUGACACGCUUCUCGGCACGCAUCGACAACAGGUGGCGUGGCACUCAUCGGCGGCGCUUGCUAUCUGCAACGGAGGCCUGACGUCACCCUUGCUGAGGCUACAAAAGGAGCCUCGUUGUGCUUGCUGGUUUCACUUGGCAGUGGCGACGACGCCGGUAUUCGUUGCUCUGAUACUGAAGUCUUCUUUGCUGCAGAUGUCCCUCUGUAGCAAUGGCAUCUGCCACCUGCCCGAUAUGCUGACACAGUUGAAACGCACGAAGAGGGAGACCUCACUAAACCGCAAGCGGAGGGGUUUGGUCAGUUACGUGAAAAAGAAAAACAAGAAAAGGAAGGACAAAAAGAGGAAGAAGAAAGAAGAGAAGAAAAAGAGAAAGGAGCAACAAGAUAGGGAGAAGUCUUCGUAAAUGCACGGUGCGGCCCAUCAGGCGCUUUGGAUUGGUUAAGGGAGCGUGGGCAGAGAACACUUUAACAACGGUUUCUUGGCUGUCAUAUUGGUACGGAAUGUAUAGGAACCACCGGCCUCC